GGGUGACAGGUGGUGCAUGGUUGUCGUCAGCUCGUGUCGUGAGAUGUUGGGUUAAGUCCCGCAACGAGCGCAACCCUCGACCUUAGUUGCCAGCAUUCAGUUGGGCACUCUAAGGUGACUGCCGGCUAAAAGUCGGAGGAAGGUGGGGAUGACGUCAAAUCAUCAUGCCCCUUAUGACCUGGGCUACACACGUGCUACAAUGGGCGGUACAAAGGGUCGCGAACCCGCGAGGGGGAGCCAAUCCCAAAAAGCCGCUCUCAGUUCGGAUUGCAGGCUGCAACUCGCCUGCAUGAAGCCGGAAUCGCUAGUAAUCGCGGAUCAGCAUGCCCGCGGUCGAAUACGUUCCCGGGCCUU
rnacentral:rRNA from 1 species